rnacentral:tRNA from 1 species
AUUUAAUUAGUAUAAAAAUACAUUACUUUUAGAAAGUAAAAAUAAACUUAAAUU